GUCGGGUACUCACUGGUAAAGCAGAGGACUGAAAAUC
rnacentral:tRNA from 1 species